AGACGUAACAAAUUACUCUUUGAACAUUCAAAACCCAACAAAUAAUUUUUUUUUUAAAAAUGACAGAUCAAAGUUAGUUUUUGUUUCUUCUCGUAAACGGGUUUGUUGUAAAUUUUAAAACGUUAUUCAUCCGUUUAGAUUAUUACAUUCAAGUCAAUCCAGAGCAGCUGAUGUAAGUGAUUGUAAAGCUGGGGCUGAUCUUUUGAACAUCAUUCGUAGAAAGGAAGAAGAAACAUUACCUGGUGUAGCUUCAUCACCUCCAUUUUUCCUCGGGUCUCCCCCGUGCAGAGUAUCAAACCCUUUAGCUCAAGAUGCACGAUUUGGAGAUAACAAACUCAACCCUAUCUCACCCUUCCUCCCAUCUCCAUCUCCAUCUCGUGUCAAAGGUGGAGGUUGUGGUCGAGUGAAGUUUGGGAUUAAACCGGCAGCUGUUAUAGUAAAGGGAUUCGAUUGCUUAAACAGGGACCGCCAAAACUCAAGCAUAACUGCCAUGGCUUAGAAGAAG